UCCUUGACAUGGAAAUUAUGCCUGUUCGAAGGGAUAGGGUCGGUUCGGCCGGGUUUCACACAGGUGUUGCAUGGCUGUCGUCAGCUCGUGUCGUGAGAUGUUAGGUUAAGUCCCGCAACGAGCGUAACCCUCAUCCUUAGUUACCAUCAGGUGGUGCUGGGGACUUUAAGGAAACUGCCAGUGUUAAACUGGAGGAAGGUGGGGAUGACGUCAAGUCAUUAUGGCCCUUAUGGAGUGGGCUAGCAGCACGUGCUACAAUGGUGGCUACAAUGGGCUGCAAAGUUGUGAGGCUAAGCUAAUCCCUUAAAAGCCAUCUCAGUUCGGAUUGCACUAUGCAACUCGAGUGUAUGAAGUUGGAAUGGAUAGUAAUCGUGGAUCAGCAUGCCAC
rnacentral:rRNA from 1 species